GAUCCUGGCUCAGGAUGAACGCUAGCUACAGGCUUAAAACAUGCAAGUCGAGGGGCAGCAUGGUCUUAGAUUGCUAAGGCUGAUGGCGACCGGCGCACGGGUGAGUAACACGUAUCCAACCUGCCGUCUACUCUUGGCCAGCCUUCUGAAAGGAAGAUUAAUCCAGGAUGGCAUCAUGAGUUCACAUGUCCGCAUGAUUAAAGGUAUUUUCCGGUAGACGAUGGGG
rnacentral:rRNA from 1 species